AGUUUACAUUAGGUCAAUACAAAUUCUAUUUAAUGUGGCAGGGUGAAGGCACAUCUGCAGCAGGGGAUGCAGCAGAUGAGGAGGAGACACUUUCUCUGGACUCCAGGAGGUUUGAGGACACAGAUGAACAGCCUGACAGCCUGCCUGGAAAUGUAAAUUCACAAACUGUCAGACAGCUAUAUGCUACUCACCUGAGGAAGCAAAUAGCCCUGGCAGAUGUCAAGCUCCAGUGUGAAAAGAGGAAGCUGCAGGACAUGGAGCUUGACAGACAAAAGAAAGACCUUAAGGAAACUGGACUUGGAAAUUAAGAAACUACAGAAAGAAGUAAGUGACUUUAAUGCACAUUGUAAGCAUGACUGUGAUGCAAUGUAUUAAUCAAUAUGAUUUCUCUCUUUCUCUCCACAGCU